rnacentral:rRNA from 1 species
GGGGAAUUUUCCGCAAUGGGCGAAAGCCUGACGGAGCAAUCUCGCGUGAGGGAUGACUGCCUAUGGGUUGUAAACCUCUUUUUUCAGGGAGGAAUCAAUGACGUGUACCUGAAGAAUAAGCAUCGGCUAACUCCGUGCCAGCAGCCGCGGUAAGACGGAGGAUGCAAGUGUUAUCCGGAAUCACUGGGCGUAAAGCGUCUGUAGGUGGUUUAAUAAGUCAACUGUUAAAUCUUGAAGCUCAACUUCAAAAUCGCAGUCGAAACUAUUAGACUAGAGUAUAGUAGGGGUAAAGGGAAUUUCCAGUGGAGCGGUGAAAUGCGUAGAGAUUGGAAAGAACACCGAUGGCGAAGGCACUUUACUGGGCUAUUACUGACACUCAGAGACGAAAGCUAGGGUAGCAAAAGGAUUAGAUACCCC